UGCAAAUUGUAUGGCCCUGCAUGAACAAAAUGAUAAAGCAUGUUUGUAAAUGUCGGCUGUUUAGUGGACAGUCUGCAGAGAGGAGCUGCUGUGGAUUCCCAGGGCAGGGGAGCAGGGGCAGUUGAAAAGCAAUCGGAUAGCACAGAAGGGAACAGCUAGAGCAAGCUGGGGAGAAACAUGUCUCCUACAUCGUUUCUUGUAUUGAAAACAUCUGCUUUAAAUGGUAUUUGAUUUCUUUGGAAGCUCUCCUCAAACCUUGCUGCAAGUGACAAGAAAGGAGGCCUUACCUCAUUUAGAUGCUUCUGAAUUUCCCAUCUGUAAAAAUCUGGAGCUCUGAGUUCAAGAGAGGGGCACUGCAGAAUAAAUAAAUUAUUGCUAUCGAGAGAUUCUACCUCAGAUGGAUCUUCCAAGGAAGCAGCUAUUAAAGGAGAGCUGUUCCUCCAGAGAAUUUCCACUGAGAAGUGGUGACUAAUUCGAUCAUGAGGCAGGACAGUAUCUGAAAGAGAAGAAGAGUUACGAUCGCCGCUUUAAUAAUGGGAAGCUGGAGCUCAGCCAGUAGGACAAGUUUUGCAAAGCUCAUGCAGCCUGCCGUUCUCCCUGACCUCCUCAUGACUUGGCAAGAUCACCUAUGGGUAGAGAGUCCGCCUCCGUGAAAUCCUGAUGUGUUGGUUCAUCCAUAGGCACCCUUCAAAAUACACAUAUCUCAAAAAGCAGAACUUAGCUACAGCCUUGGAUACAGUCAGGUACCAAGAGAGAGGUUAGGACUCAGUUUAGGUUUCUCUCCUACAACCCCAGGGAACGUGGGGGCAUCAAAACAGGAAGAAGAGAGCAACUCUGGUCCUGUGGUGGUGGACUUGGUACUGCACAACUGCACUGCAGGCAAUAAACCAUUGUUCAUCUCAAUCUGUGGGGUAAUCCAUUGGUACCAAGUGGAAGGAAUCUACUGGCUGGGAAUGCACGAUGCUUUGGAAAUAAUUCCAACUGGAAGAAAGACAAGGAGCUAAUAUACUCCUAUAAACAUGCUGAAGUGAAAUUUAGGCUAAUAGUCAUCAGGAGGUCAGCUAACUUACUGUGUUUCUGGAGCUAAAGUAGACAAACCUCUUUCUGGUGUCUAAUACGUUUGAUUUCUUGCUUAUUGAUACUUGCUGACAGCAGCAGAACUGCAAUUGCGUGUGAGCAGACAUCACCUGCCAGAAGAGCUCUCCCAUCGCUCAGCCCAGAGUGCGAAGGGAGGGAGCUAUGCAUAAACAUACAGAAUUUAUGAACAGUUAGAAAAUCCUCAUUAUUAAUCAUUUCCGCAGUUAAAUAUCUCGCUGUAACUAAAGGCUGCAAAUGUCUUUGUUUCAAAGUGAGUUUAUCUGGAAUCUCCUUUUAAGUAGAUUUCUGCUGUCCAGGUAAUCUGGGGAUUAGUUCUGCAAAUUUACGUAGUGCUGAGAUGGUGGAGCUGCUUCUGUAGGAAGCUGGGGGAAAGGAGUAGGUUACUUUUGUUAGCUUCCACUGUCCCUGUAGGUUCCCAAUUUUGAUUUUUUUAUAAAUUUAUUCUUUUUAUGACUAAAAACCCGCAUUAGUGCUUUUAACAUACCAGUCUAGCUCAGUGUCUAACAAAUACAUCUGUAAAUUUUUUUUCUUUUUUUUUUUUUUUGCUGGGUAGUAAGAUAAUGUUAUGCGCUUGCAAUAUUGCCCAUCUGAAGCCCAGUUCACCUGGUAACCCUGGCUGCUGGGGGCUGCCUGUUGGAAUGGGCAUAACCAUUACACGAGACCAAAUUUGCCUGCCCACAAC